UGCAACUGCUGGUAGACAGCUACAAUUCAAAGACAAAAAAAAAAUUCAGAAUAAGGAGAUUAUGAGCAACAGAAACUCCAAUGUGGUAAAUACCAGCAACCCAGAUAGAUUAUCUGUAAUAUCAAUCAUCCCAUUAUUUUGGGAAGGGAAAGGGACGACAAUCCAGAGCUAACUGUGCACUGCAUUAAGCCAAAGGUUGGCCAUUCCUAAGCGCUAAACCUGAUUAGUAGCUACCCUUGAUCCUGAACUCA